AAACCUCUGCAAUAGGCGAAAGCUNGACAGGGUUAUUCUGAGUGACUUUCGCUAAGAAAGUCUUUUGACACCUCUAAAAAUGGUGUAGAAUAAGGGGUGGGCAAGUCUGGUGUCAGCCGCCGCGGUAAUACCAGCACCCCGAGUGGUCGGGACGAUUAUUGGGCCUAAAGCAUCCGUAGCCGGUUUUACAAGUCCUCCGUUAAAUCCAACUGCUUAACAGAUGGGCCGCGGAGGAUACUAUAAGACUAGGAGGCAGGAGAGGCAAGCGGUACUCAGUGGGUAGGGGUAAAAUCCGUUGAUCCAUUGAAGACCACCAGUGGCGAAGGCGGCUUGCCAGAAUGCGCUCGACGGUGAGGGAUGAAAGCUGGGGGAGCAAACCGGAUUAGAUACCCGGGUAGUCCCAGCUGUAAACGAUGCAGACUCGGUGAUGGACUAGCUUCAUGCUAGUCCAGUGCCGCAGGGAAGCCGUUAAGUCUGCCGCCUGGGUAGUACGGUCGCAAGACUGAAACUUAAAGGAAUUGGCGGGGGAGCACCACAAGGGGUGAAGCNUGCGGUUCAAUUGGAGUCAACGCCGGGAAUCUUACCGGGGGCGACAGCAGAAUGAAGGUCAAGCUGAAGACUUUACUAGACAAGCUGAGAGGAGGUGCAUGGCCGUCGCCAGCUCGUGCCGUGAGGUGUCCUGUUAAGUCAGGUAACGAGCGAGACCCCUGCUUCUAGUUGCUACUUUUAUUCUUCGGAGUAGAAGGGCUAAUUAGAAGGACUGCCGCCGCUAAGGCGGAGGAAGGAGGGGGCUACGGCAGGUCAGUAUGCCCCGAAACCCUCGGGCCACACGCGGGCUGCAAUGGUAAGUACAAUAGGUUCCGAUUUCGAAAGGAGGAGGCAAUCCGCAAAACCUACCACAGUUAUGAUUGAGGGCUGAAACUCGUCCUCAUGAAUAUGGAAUCCCUAGUAAUCGCGUGUCAUCAUCGCGCGGUGAAUACGUCCCUGCUCC
rnacentral:rRNA from 1 species